GACGAACGCUGGCGGCGUGCUUAACACAUGCAAGUCGAACGGAAAGGCCCUGCUUUUGUGGGGUGCUCGAGUGGCGAACGGGUGAGUAACACGUGAGUAACCUGCCCUUGCCUUUGGGAUAACUUCAGGAAACUGGGGCUAAUACCGGAUAGGAGCUCCUGCUGCAUGGUGGGGGUUGGAAAGUUUCGGCGGUUGGGGAUGGACUCGCGGCUUAUCAGCUUGUUGGUGGGGUAGUGGCUUACCAAGGCUUUGACGGGUAGCCGGCCUGAGAGGGUGACCGGCCACAUUGGGACUGAGAUACGGCCCAGACUCCUACGGGAGGCAGCAGUGGGGAAUAUUGCACAAGGGGCGGAAGCCUGAUGCAGCAACGCCGCGUGCGGGAUGACGGCCUUCGGGUUGUAAACCGCUUUCGCCUGUGACGAAGCGUGAGUGACGGUAAUGGGUAAAGAAGCACCGGCUAACUACGUG
rnacentral:rRNA from 1 species